rnacentral:rRNA from 1 species
GACGUAGGGGGCCAGCGUUGUUCGGAAUUACUGGGUGUAAAGGGUUCGUAGGCGGUGCGGCAAGGUCGGGAGUGAAAUCUCUGGGCUUAACCCAGAGGCUGCUUCCGAAACUGCUGUGCUUGAGUGUGGGAGAGGCGCGUGGAAUUGCAGGUGUAGCGGUGAAAUGCGUAGAUAUCUGCAGGAACACCCGUGGCGAAAGCGGCGCGCUGGACCACUACUGACGCUGAGGAACGAAAGCUAGGGGAGCAAACAGG